GGCUCCUCGUAACCCAUCAAAUGAGGAGUCGGACCUGCCCGGUGAAUUUUUUUAACGGCCGCGGUACUCUGACCGUGCAAAGGUAGCAUAAUCAUUUGCCUUAUAAUUGAAGGCUAGUAUGAAUGGUUUGACAAGAAUAUAGCUGUCUCUUUGUAAUUAAUUAGAAUUUUAUUUUUAGGUGAAGAAGCCUAAAUAAAAUUGAAAGACAAGAAGACCCUAUCGAGCUUAAAAGAAGUUAAUAAGUCUAUAUUUCUUAAUAAAGUAUUAAUGUUAUUUAUUAAAAAUUUUAGUUGGGGCGACUGAGGAACAAAAAAAGCUUCCUUUAUAAUUUAAAUUAAGACAGACAAGUACUGAUCCAAGAGUUUUGAUUAAAGAAAUUAGUUUCCGUAGGGAUAACAGCAUUAUCCUCUUUGAGAGUUCAUAUCGAAAAGGGGGUUUGUGACCUCGAUGUUGGACCAGAAUAUCCUAAAGAUGCAGCCGUCUUUAAGGGUUGGUCUGUUCGACCAUUAAAAUUCUACGUGAUCUGAGUUCAGACCGGCGUGAGCCAGGUCAGUUUCUAUCUUCAAUUAUUUUAAAUAAACUUAGUACGAAAGGACCAGAUUAUUGUAAGUUAAUUACUAGAUAUAGAGAUAAAAUAUAAUGGUGUUUUAAAUAUUUGAAGUUAAAUCAAAUUAGCAAAGACAAUGCAAUUGACUUAGGAUCAAUAGACAUAGGUGAAACUCCUUUAUUUGAUAUAGUUUUACAGGAAUAACUAAUAAUAAAGGUGGCAGAAUAAA
rnacentral:rRNA from 1 species